UUGGUAUUCCUCGGUCUAACAAAGGAUGUCUUAACUUUGACUAAAUUUGAAUGCAUCUAUACACUAAGUCAUGUCUAGAUACAUCCAAAAUUUGAUAAACUUGAAACAUCUUUUGUUGGACGGAGGAAGUAUUUA
rfam:Brachypodium distachyon strain Bd21 chromosome 4, whole genome shotgun sequence.